rnacentral:rRNA from 1 species
AUUGAACGCUGGCGGCAGGCCUAACACAUGCCAGUCGAGCGGUAACAGGGAGCUUCCUGCUGGUUUCCUCGCGAGACGCGUGCGUGAUGCCUAUGAAUGUGCCUCGUCGUGGUGGAUGACGUCCAGAACUGGGCGCUGAUACCGCUACCGCCUUGCGUCGGAAAGUCAGGGAUCUUCGGCCUUCACGCUCUCAGCUUAGGCUAGGUCGGAUUAGCUAGUUGGUGGGGUAAAGGCCUACCUAGGCGACGAUCCGUAACUGGUCUGAGAGGAUGAUCAGUCACACUGGAACUGAGACACGGUCCAGACUCCUACGGGAGGCAGCAGUGGGGAAUAUUGGACAAUGGGCGAAAGCCUGAUCCAGCCAUGCCGCGUGUGUGAAGAAGGUCUUCGGAUUGUAAAGCACUUUAAGUUGGGAGGAAGGGAAGUAAGUUAAUACCUUGCUGUUUUGACGUUACCAACAGAAGAAGCACCGGCUAACUUCGUG